GAUCUCGUAGCUCAGCUGGUAGAGCACUUGACUUUUAAUCAAGUGGCCGAUGGUUCGAAUCCAUCCGGGAUCA
rnacentral:tRNA from 1 species